rnacentral:misc_RNA from 1 species
GCAAACUUGGUCAUUUAGAGGAAGUAAAAGUCGUAACAAGGUUUCCGUAGGUGAACCUGCGGAAGGAUCAUUAGAAAUGCUAUUGUUUUUUUCUCUUCUCGAGGAAAACACAUCAUUUCCUGACUUUUUCGCUGCCAUGAAGCUUUUUCCUUUUUCUUUUCACAAAGAAAAGGGGGGGCCGCCUGGCGCGUUAAGUCGGAUUCUUUUUUUCAGCAGAAUUUUUUAGCUUUCUUUUGAGGGCUAAUCUUUUGUUGGAAAUUUCAAUCUACACCUAUUUUUUGUCUGAACCUUCUUUAUAUUUAUAAUCUUAAAUAUAAAACAACUUUCAACAAUGGAUCCCUCGGUUCUCCCAUCGAUGAAGAACGCAGC